GAUCAUGGCUUAGGAUGAACGCUAGCGACAGGCCUAACACAUGCAAGUCGAGGGGCAGCGGAGAGGUAGCAAUACCUUUGCCGGCGACCGGCGCACGGGUGAGUAACACGUAUGCAAUCCACCUGUAACAGGGGGAUAACCCGGAGAAAAUCCGGACUAAUACCCCAUAAUAUGGGCGCUCCGCAUGGAGAGCCCAUUAAAGAGAGCAAUUUUGGUUACAGACGAGCAUGCGCUCCAUUAG
rnacentral:rRNA from 1 species